UACAGAGGUCCCGAGCGUUGUUCGGAUUCACUGGGCGUAAAGGGUGCGUAGGUGGCAUGGCAAGUUUGAUGUGAAAGCUCAGGGCUUAACCCUGAAAUGGCAUUGAAUACUGCUGUGCUGGAGGUUUGGAGGGGGGACUGGAAUUCUUGGUGUAGCAGUGAAAUGCGUAGAUAUCAAGAGGAACACCAGUGGCGAAGGCGAGUCCCUGGACAACACCUGACACUGAGGCACGAAAGCCGGGGGAGCAAACAGG
rnacentral:rRNA from 1 species